rnacentral:rRNA from 1 species
AGAGUUUGAUCCUGGCUCAGAACGAACGCUAGCGGCGUGCCUAACACAUGCAAGUCGCACGAGAAAUCCCGGGCAACUGGGAGAGUAAAGUGGCGCACGGGUGAGUAGCGCGUGGGUAAUCUACCCUUAAGUUGGGAAUAACACCUCGAAAGGGGUGCUAAUUCCGAAUAACAUCCCUGGGACCCCGGUCUCGGGGAUCAAAGAUGGCUGAGGCUUGCAAGCUAUCGCUUAAGGAUGAGCCCGCGUACCAUUAGCUAGUUGGUGGGGUAAUGGCCCACCAAGGCUAUGAUGGUUAGCUGGUCUGAGAGGAUGGCCAGCCACACUGGAACUGAGACACGGUCCAGACUCCUACGGGAGGCAGCAGUGAGGAAUCUUGCGCAAUGGGGGCAACCCUGACGCAGCAACGCCGCGUGAGUGAUGAAGGCCUUCGGGUCGUAAAGCUCUGUCAGAUGGGAAGAAAGUUUCGGGCGUGAAUAAUACCCGGAAUCGACGGUACCGUCAAAGGAAGCACCGGCUAACUCCGUGCCAGCAGCCGCGGUAAUACGGAGGGUGCAAGCGUUGUUCGGAAUCAUUGGGCGUAAAGAGCGUGUAGGCGGCCGGGUAAGUCAGAUGUGAAAUCCCUUGGCUUAACCAAGGAAGUGCAUUUGAAACUGCUCGGCUUUGAGUACGGGAGGGGGAAGUGGAAUUCCCGGUGUAGAGGUGAAGUUCGUAGAUAUCGGGAGGAACACCGGUGGCGAAGGCGGCUUCCUGGACCGAUACUGACGCUGAGACGCGAAAGCGUGGGGAGCAAACAGGAUUAG